rnacentral:rRNA from 1 species
GGAGUCUGGGCCGUGUCUCAGUCCCAAUGUGGCCGUCCAACCUCUCAGUCCGGCUACUGAUCGUUGCCUUGGUGGGCCGUUACCUCACCAACUAGCUAAUCAGACGCGAGCUCAUCCUUAAGCGAUAAAUCUUUGGUCAAGGUAUCAUGCGGUACUAUGACGUUAUGCGGUAUUAGCAGCCGUUUCCAACUGUUAUUCCACUCUGAGAGGCAGGUUGCUCACGUGUUACUCACCCGUCCGCCACUAAGUCAUAAGGUUCGUCACUCCGAAGAGAUCAGAUCCAAAUGCUUCGUUCGACUUGCAUGUGUUAGGCACGCCGCCAGCUUGUCCUGAGCCACUGAUCAAACUACU